rnacentral:rRNA from 1 species
CCUACGGGCGGCAGCAGUGGGGAAUAUUGGGCAAUGGACGCAAGUCUGACCCAGCAAAGUCGCGUGAAGGAAGACGGCCCUAGGGUUUUUAACCUCCUUUUAGGGGGAAGUGAAGAAGACGGUACCCCUUGAUUAAGCCAUGGCUAACUACGAGCCAGCAGCUGCGGCAAUGCGGAGGUGGCCGGCGUUUUCCGGAUUUCCUGGGUGUAACGGGCGUGCAGCCGGUGAGACAAGUCCGAUGGGAAAUCCACGGGCUCAACCCGUGAACUGCAGUUGAAACUGUUUCUCUUGAGUGUCGGAGAGGUAAGCGGAAUUCGUGGUGUAGCGGUGAAAUGCGUAGAUAUAAGGAAGAACACCAGUGGCGAAGGCAGAAUACUGGAGGAUAACUGACGGUGAUGCGCGAAAGCGUGGGGAUCGAACAGGAUUAGAUACCCGGGUAGUC